AUUUUCUUAGUAUAAAUAGUACAAGUGACUUCCAAUCACACAACCUCGGUUAAACUCCGGGAGAAAAUA
rnacentral:tRNA from 1 species